GUGGGAGGGGGCUUGCUCCCGAUAGCGGUGUGUCAGCCAGAAUUCUAUCAACUGAUACACCGCCAUCGGGAGCAAGCCCCCUCCCAC
rnacentral:misc_RNA from 1 species